rnacentral:rRNA from 1 species
GACGAACGCUGGCGGCGUGCCUAAUACAUGCAAGUCGAGCGAAUCUUGAGGUGCUUGCACCUCUUGGUUAGCGGCGGACGGGUGAGUAACACGUGGGCAACCUGCCUGUAAGACUGAGAUAACUUCGGGAAACCGGAGCUAAUACCGGAUAAUCCUUUUCCUUUCAUGAGGAAAAGCUGAAAGUCGGUUUUUCGCUGACACUUACAGAUGGGCCCGCGGCGCAUUAGCUAGUUGGUGAGGUAACGGCUCACCAAGGCGACGAUGCGUAGCCGACAUGGAAGGGUGAUCGGCCACACUGGGACUGAGGCACGGCCCAGACUCCUACGGGGGGCAGCAGUAGGGAAUCUUCCGCAAUGGACGAAAGUCUGACGGAGCAACGCCGCGUGAGCGAUGAAGGCCUUCGGGUCGUAAAGCUCUGUUGUUAGGGAAGAACAAGUAUCGGAGUAACUGCCGGUACCUUGACGGUACCUAACCAGAAAGCCACGGCUAACUACGUGCCAGCAGCCGCUGUAA